UGUAAGGAGGAAGAAUGAAUGUGGUCGCCAGCUGCACCAAGUUAACAAUCAGUGAGCUGAGAAAAGCCCGACUACCAGCUACCUUUCUGCUUUCCAAACCCUUGACCAGUGAGAAAUCAAAACAUGGUUUAGGUCAGCCUACAGGUGUAGAGUAGGCUUUACCUCCCACGAACCAGGGAUGGGAAGCGAAGGAAAGAGUGCUGCAGAGCUGCUGAUUGUCUGCUCUCCAGACUCGCAGUUAAGGGGAAUCCUCAGUUGUCCAUUUAGGGUAGUAGUAUAGCUGCACUGAGCUGCUGAGGCACGCAGAGAAGCUGCAGAUGGGGCUGAGAGUACAGCUUGAUACUUCUCUGUUGAGCCCCCCAGUUAACAGCGUUAUCAAACGCCUGCUAGAUGUGGGUACUGCGACUGUUGGUAAUGGCUAAAGGCAAAGCAGGGGGUCUGGUUUUAAUAAAAAGGUACUUCACAAACAGCGUUUUUCUUAUUAUAAUGGUAAAAUGGAUAUGAAACAGCUACAUGCCAAACUACUAUUUUUUGGUGCUAUUUAUUUUUUUCAGAACAUUGAAAACAAAACAGAAAAGGAGGGAGGAAAGAAAAGGGGAGGAGGGGAAACUCCCUUCAGACAACAAUCACCUUUUGAGUUAAAUUCUCAUGCUUGGUCUUAGCCCAGAGGGAUUUGUCUUGAGUGAAGUUCGAAGAAAAUCCUUUCAGCAGUUUCUGAGUUAUUUAAAUGUAACCAUGGAGGUUUGGAUUCGGAUGCUUUUUUGCACUUGUAUAACUCAAAAAUAGCUUUGCUUUAAAACUUCUAAAUUAACCCUCCUUAACUUUUCAACUUGUCACCUAUCCUACUGUAUGGCUUAUAAAAUUUUAAAGCUAAUAGUAUAACAAACUCAAAUAAUGAUACUGCAGAUGUUCAAAUGAAUCUUGGGAGGAAUAAAUUAUAGGAGUCACAGUAGGUUGUUACUGAAGAAAGAGCGGCUGCAUGCCUUAAACCAUGUGUUUUACUGGUCUGAAAUAGGCCCAAUCUUUUCUACUAUUAAAAAGCGUAAGUGUGGUUGGCUGUGGGUUUUAAUACUUGGUUACAGAUACAAAAUGAAGCACGUAAGUCCUGUUCCUUUUUUUCUUCUUGCUAGCAGUGAUUCAGCCUUGUCAGAACAUUCUCUCAAAUUUUCCUGCUUUCUUUUUAAAACAAUCACGAUCAACAGGACACUUAAAUGUCUCCUAAAUAUUUAUGGACUUCAAAGGCACUGAAAUGCGCUGUGAUUGUCUUACUGUUAUUAUUUUACUGCCAGAAGAUUGAGGCAAUGAGAGGUGAAGUGUCUUGUUUGGUCAUGGUUUUCCUUUUCCUUUGUCCAAUCCUCCUGUUGCUUUCUUAUGUUUCUUCCUCUUUGUCUUCUUUCCAACAUUUCUGCCUCACUUACUAGCCCUGUCCUCACUGUCUCCUAUCUGCCUUUCAACCAUCUUUCUCCAUUUAUUCUUCUCUAACAAUUGCACUGAAGAGAACCCAUGAGAGAGAGAAAUGAUUUUUACUUUGGCAGCAGCCUUUUACUUUUAUCUUAUCCCUAAAUGACUGGGAUGGGUCCAGCUGUGCUCUCCACUUUCAUCAUCUCUGUUCACAUCCCUCGUGACCCUGAACUCUAGUCAGCAAUCUGAUGUCUGUCAUGAGAGCACCUCCCAUGAUCCAGAGCCAUGAUCAGACUAAGGUGUGGUAACACCAUGCGUUACUUUCCCUGCUCGCCAUGCUUGCUCCACCACUUUCUAGGAACUGGAUACCCGUGCCAGUUUUUUUUUCACAGAACGAUGACAGAGAGCGCCUCUGCCUUCUGCACGUCUGUCCUCCUCGCUUCUAUGCCCUUCCUCUCCCGAGCUUUUGUGGUUCAGUCUCCUGGCUGGUGCAAUUCAACCAAGAUCCAGGAGACAGGUAUUCAGACUCUGCCUGAGGGAGUUUGAACUGGAAUCUCUUGCCCCUGAAUUAGUGCCCUACCGAAGAGAUUAGUGCUGUUCUGUAAGGAGUGUGACCUGAGACCUUUCUCCAAGGGGAAGGCUUGAGCUUGACGUGACAGCCUUGUAGUGGGGACACUCACCUGGGUGGGGAAGCCGUGUCUGCCAGGGCCUGCCCCAGUGAACACCGAAUACAAGGCAGGGAACUAGCCCCGGCAAGUGGGUAACAGAACUUCUUGUAAUGCUUGGAGAGCAAGCACACAUGGCAAUCCAAUUAAUAUUUAAUUAUUCCAUACAAACUGGAAAAGCUCCAAUGGGAUGGAUUGGAGAGAGUCCCUGUUCCCCAAGAUCCUUUUAGACGGUGCUGUUCUCUCUUGGCUGCCGUGGGUCGACUCCCCUCCUACCCCGCAGCAGCAACGACAGCUGCUUCAGCCCAAGUGACGUGGUAUGGGAACAGGUGAGGAGUGAGGACGUGUGUGGAGGCUGGAGGGGAGGAAAAGGUGCUCCUGAGCGUACUCUUAUCCGUGGCGACAGGCCUGUAUCCUUAGCCGAGACAAGCAGCUGCCCCUGCUGUCCCAGUUACCAUUCUGGGCAGGAGUGAUAAUGAAGUCUGUUCAGAGACAGGGCAGUGAGCUGGGCAACUAAAAGGGAAAUUGCUUUUAGAGGUGGAAAUGCAGCAAAAAUAGACCAAAGAAUCUUGAAAGACAAAAUCAAUGCCAAAGCAGAGGAAGCCAGAAUGACUUCCAGAGCUCAGCUAUAGGCAGUUGUCCCCAAACAUAAGCCAGACACUGUCCGUAUGUGGGAAACAUCCAGGCAUUUUCUCUCCUACAAAAAUAUUAAGGAGAUUAUAUGUUUAAACUGUAAUGGAAAAACUGGAGCUGUAGUGCUCGGUUCCAAAGGAAAAUGCUAACCGUUGGAAGCGAUGCGGUACAGGGGGCUCUCCGUGUGUGUGUAUGUGCGGCUGCUCCUUUUUCUCUUAGGGAUUCUAUAGCUUUCUUCAUUCUUCGCUUCUCUCAUAUUACAGAAAGAACGUAAUUUUUCCUGGCCAUUUACUAAAGCUCAUUAAAGACCGAAGAGAACAAACAAUGCUACCCCUUAGAGACUACCAUUCAAAGUCAUUCUACAAUUCUCUGUUCUAAUACUUGAGACAAAUUAAUUAUUCCUUAGUGAAAAGUGUAUAAUUCCUAUUCUUCAUUUUUGGGGUGGGGAGUGGGGAAUAAUAAUAGGAAGCUUAUAUCUGAGUCGAAAGCUGUCUGUGCUGAAGGGAAAUGAGAAAAAAUGUGUGUUCUGAGAAGAGUAAAAGCAAUUAUUCUAAUCAUAAUUCUAGGGAUAUUAAUGUCUUUUUAAAGUAGAUUGCUUUCAAAUAAACACCAAAGUUGAAGGGAUAGGAAAGGCUGGUUUAUUUAUUAAUCAUUCCAAAAGUGCAUUUUUCUAAAUGAACAAGUGCAUGAGCAACUUUGCCGGCACAUAUUAAAUCCAGUUAAAUGGCAACUUGUAAAUGUCUAAAAACUUCUGUAACCAGAGACUAAUUUGUUUAACGUGUUGAAAAUGUUAUGUGGAUGUGAGGAACUACAUAUUAAACUUCAAAGCAAAAUGCUCCAGAGAUUACACCAUCUUAAAGACUGCAUAUUGGAGAGGCCUUUAUACAUUAAACAUAAAGGAGUUUUAAUUCUCUUCUAUUUUGAAUACUUGUCAAUCUGCGUGACUCACGCUUAGGAUUGUAAACUGUCAUUUAAGGUGUGAUGUCCAAGUUGAGGGCUGGACCGCGAUUUGCAAGGGGCUGGCUUUCCUCUUUCAUCUCUCUUAAUUAAUCCUGUCUCAGUUUGCCCAGCGAACACUUCUGUUGACAUCACCUUUUCCAUAUACUUUAAAGAGUCCCCAGAGAGAUCUACUGCAGAACAAAAACUGGACAGAGAAUACAUUUGGAAACCAUUUUAUUUCUCAAUUACCAACCAAAACGUAUGGAAAAGAUUUACACUCUAUCUGAUUUACACAAUAAUUAUACUUUGAAAGCUUAGAAAUAAAUGGCUUGAUCCUUGAAAUCAUUAGUUACUAAACCAAAUGUAAUUGGUGUAAACUAAUGAGUUUACUGGAUGGCUGACCCUUAAUUACUGAUUAUAGUUAAACUCCAGCCAAUCAAAAAUUAGUUUACUUAUAAAAAUACAGUAUAGUAUUAACAAGCAUUACAUUUCCAAGCAAGCAGCUUUAUGAUUAGUUGUAGCACACAACUCAAGCCUGUUCAGGGCUAUCAAAAGCAGCUUUUUAAUAAUAGUGCACUAAGCAACCAUCACUCUCUUACCUCAGCGUCUAUCAGACAAACAGAAAGAAACCACAUAAUUAAUCAUCUCAUGCAAUAGAAAUAAAGCCUCUGGGCUGGAUCCAGGCAGGAUAUCCAUAGCUGCCUUAGUCAAACGAGCUGCAAGAAGCUGGGGAUUCACUUUAAAGAUAGGAUAUCUGAGAUGGGGAAUUCUGGGCCUCUGUGGGAGCAAUAUGCGGUAUGGAAUUUAAAUAUUGAUUGAUUGCGUGCAAUCCUGUGCAAUACAAAGAAGCCCAUCAACAAAAUAGGUUUAAUAAUUCCUUGAAUUGAGGAGGAUUCCUUCAGCAGAUUCAAUAUGUGGUGAGAGGACGUUUGGUUACCACACUGGCCAUCUCAAAAAAUCAGAAAUUGUGGCUCCUCUCUAUUUAUGAGAUCAAAUUAAGAAUUGAUUUUUAAAAAUACUAAACGGGAAGAAAUUAGUUUUAUUGUUUCUGGUUGAUCUUUAAGAGUUAACAUUUUCACCUAACCAGGAAGACUUAAAAUUCCUAUUAAAAAGCUGAAAGCAGAUUUGUGUAAAGACAUUGGUUCCAGAGUUGGGCCUUUAAAUUGCUACACCGAAUGUUUUGAUAAAAUCAUAGGACUUUACAAUAUCUGCAGCCACAUCCUUAAAGGUCCUAGGUGGGUGACUCCAAUGUUUUAAAGAUGUGGGAAUUCUCAGUCUCCUAGAACGUUCCUGUGAAUCCUAAACUUGCAAUAGGAGACUGGUUCUAGACAGCACAGCCACUGGAAGAUCAAGUCUGAUACGCUGCUGCUGCAGAUAUCUAGUCGGACGGGUUUGCUGCAGCUCUGUCACCUGUGUGCUCUUCAGAUGACCUGAUGGACCUCACAGCUGCUGGGAUUCAUUCUGUUGGGAUUACAGCUGAUCCUUUUUGUUCUGUAAAUUCAAAGUAGCCGAGUGGCUCCUUUUAUCUCUAGUUUGGGCCUUCAAACAGCCCCAAACGGAGCUCGAAUGUGACCGCUGAUGAUGGUGACCGGCGAACAGAGGCGACCUGUUAGUACAAGUUCUGCAGAAGUAUCUGUAAAGAAAGCAUUUUUCUCCUAUAAAGGUCUGCUGCUUGGAAAAGAAUGCUGAGAGUGAAGCCAUCCAGGAUUCUUCCCAGCUCCUGCCAGGACGCAGACUCUCCAGUACCAUUCGAUAUCCAACUUAAAUACUUAAUCCGCUCGUAUUUUAAAAUUGGUUGAGGCUCUACACCAGAAGAUCCUAUGUGAGUAAACUGACUUUAAGGUAACAAAUGGCAGUUGAUUUCUCACCACUGUUUCCAGUGGUCAGAGGGUUUGUUUUAAAAGUCUAAUUGUUUGUUCAAAAAGGUGUACCUUGCAAGGCACGAGGACCGGCAAAGUGUGCAGCAUGGAAGAUCUCGAGACAAAGCAGCAGCCUCAACAUCUCACUCUAAUGAGAAAAGGAAAAAGACAGCCAAGGUUCCGUAGGAAUGCACUAUUUGGGGAGAGAACUGAGACUCCUUUCAUGAAUGGAGAGACAACCCCGAUGAAUUCUGGACUACCUGCUAUCGUAAGGGCUUGUCUAGGUUUAAGAAUGAUUUGGAUCACAGGCUGUAACAUUUUCCAGACAUUCAGAUUGCAACUACUAAGCCAGCAAUUUUAUGCUUUCCUUUCCCUGACUCCAACAGUACCGUGAUAUAAGCAGCCAGAUUUUCUUCUGCAUUGUGUUUUUUUAUCCAUUCAGCCAAAAUUAACAGUCUUGGAGGAUAACGUAUGCCAAGUGAAUUUAAAUCUUGCGGACUCAAAUCGACCUAAAGUUGAUGGAUACAUUCAUGCCUACUGCUGAAAUCCACCAAUUACACAGAACUAUGUUAACUUACCAUAGAAACAUCUCAUCUAAUAGCACAGAUGAUGUUGAACUAACUAAUUACAUUAUGGCACAUAGACAAUGAAAAACAUAACGAAGAUGACAGCACAGCAACAGCAGAUGCUGCACAAAAGAAAAAUUAGAAAAAUAUUGCUCUGCAAAAUGCUCUCAGUUAAGGUUUCCUCCGUUAAAAUUAAUUGCAAAAAUUAGUAAAGAUCGGAUUUCAGAAAAAGAUGUGAGCAUUGUGAUGGUAUUUGGAAGAUGUCAUUAAGCCAUAUAAAACUCGGUUCCUUGAGAAGGUAAUUCCCAUUUUUUUUUUUUUGUAUCGCUAUCAGCUUUAAGACUAGUAAACAUUUUAGUGCCUAUGGCAGACUUUCUUGGUAGAAUAUCUUUUCCAAUAAGGAGAGGUCCUGAUGGCUCUUCCAGAGUCUGAAUUUGGUAGCUUCCAGCCAUUACAGGCUUAGAUAAUUAGACAACUUAGAUUUUAUUUUAGCUUGGCGUUUGCUCUAUUCUUGUGCUCUUGGCUGUCAGAGAGCUGGAAUAACAGUGACUGUUGAUUAUCUGUAGCAUGCCUUGUUACUUUAUAUAUUUUAAACCGUACCAGAUCCUAAAUAACAAAUCUAAAACUGCUGAGCACGUUUAAAUGUAAUACGCACACGGAGAUUACAUCCAGAUGAUGUAUUUCAUAGACCUACGGUAAAAAAAAAAUACAUUAUUUUUAUAACCAUCACGCUGGUCCUCUCCCCUGGUGCCCGACGAAGCUUUCCAUGGGCUCCCAGUUUGCUUUAUGCACAGAUUCUGAAUGUAUCCUGUCUAUGAAGACCGAAGGAGCCUUUUCCCCUGCAUUUAAAUCAUACAUCAUCAUAAAUCAUAAUCAUGUGGAGCCAUUGGAAUUUCAAUAUUUUAUUUGCUAUAUAAUUAGAAUCAAAUAGAAGAAAUUGGAAACAAAACCUAUUUACAAUAUCCUGUGUUUUCCUAAGCACAUUUUUCCUAGCUGGACACUAAAUUUCGUCAGGACCCACCACACGAAUCCCUUUGGUCCAGGGAUGCAGGGAUGCAGGGAUGGAUGCAGGGAUGAGGAAAGCCCACAGAUGGCAGUGUGGCUACCGUACACCUGGGCUACGAGUCCAGGACCGUUUGGUGAGUGCGAGGGGCAGCAGCUACCGGUACUCAGGGGUUUUUUAUAGUGCCUUCUCCCAGAUGCUGCUGCUCCUGCACCUCUUUGGGUGCACUGCUUCCACCCUGGUCUCCAGCAGGAGCAGGUUUAAAACAGCUGAGACGUGGAGGAGUCACUCGGCUCCUCAUCCCCUCGAUCGCGUCCUGAGGCAGUGGUGACGGGCUGCAUCCCUGCUUGCAUCCCUGCCUGCAUCCCUGCCUGCAUCCCGGGCAGCCCGAGCCGCAGCAUUGGCUGCUGCUGACGUCAGCACUCUGGAAUCGGGAAACUCCGAACGGGUGAAGUUUCGCGGUGCCUCCACAGACCCUGGAACGGUUUCUCCGUCUCCGCAGCCGCCGUUCACUCUGCCUGUGCCGUCUCUGCCUAUGAGACAAUGCCAGGCUGAAGGCAGAUCCCACCGCUCCCAGGGAUAACGGGGAAAACACCACUAAUUACAACACAUUUAUAGAUACUUUCAUUAUUCCGAACUGCUAUACUUCUCCUUAUCCUGUGAGCUGCGCUUAGGCCUCAAAAAUGUUCAUUAAUACAUUUCCCCCCCCCCCCCAACAUUGUCCCUAUGGAAUAUGACUUCUGCUUUGCUAUCAUCCCUCAGAAAUGCAGUUGCCUUCUCAGAUGACAAGCGGUGCUGCUAACCGCCAGCCCAGUUGCGGUGGUUUAACUCUUUUAAACCUUUUACAGGGCACUAAUAGAAUCAUAGAACCAUAGAAUCCUAGAGUCAUAGAAUCAUGGAAUGGUUGGGGUUGGAAGGGAACUUAAAGAUCAUCCAUGUUCCACCCCUGCCAUGGGCAGGGACACCUCCCACUGGAUCAGGGACUCCAAGCCCCAUCCAACCUGGCCUGGAACCCCUCCAGGGAUGGGGCACCACCACUGCUCUGGGCAGCCUGGGCCAGGGCCUCCCCACCCUCAGUGUUAAAUAUAUCUUCCUGGAUACUUUUAUUAUUCAGAGGGUGUUUUUUAGCUCUAUGGUGCUCUGCUUCUCCUUAUCCUGAGUGCUGUGUUUACGCCUCAAAGAAGGUGUAUUAAUCUACAGGGGGGUUUCUUUCCCGUUUUCGGCGUCCCUAGGGAAUAAGAGUUCGGAUGUGCUGUCAUCCCUGGGCUCCUUGCUCCAAGCGUGGCCAAGCGGUGCUGCUCUCUGCCAGCUGGUUGCAGCAGUUUAACCCUUUUCAACGUUUCAAUAGAAUCAUAGAACGGUUUUGGGCUGGAAGGGACCAUGAAGGUCACCCGGUCCGACCCCCCUGGAGAAGCAGUGACAUCCCCAACCCAAAGCGAUCGCUCCGAGCCCCAUCCGAGCUGGCCCUGAACACCUCCCGGGAUGGGGCGUCUAUGACUUCUCCGGGCAACCCGUGCCGGUGUUUCACCCCCCUCAGCGUGGAAAAUGUCUUCCUGCUGUCCACCCGCACCGUCCCCUCCGCGGGUCCCCUCCGCUCGGCCGGGCUGACCCGCUCCCGUCCCCGCGGGCUGCCGCAGCGUCCCCCCGGCUCUCAUCGGGUGCCAAGGUCACCGCCCGGGGCUCAAAACCCCCCCGAAAGCGAAUUCAUUGUGCGAAGCGGGUCCCGCGCAGGAGCCGGACGGCCAAGUUCCUCAAGUGGUGGCCGGGGGCCA